rnacentral:rRNA from 1 species
CCUACGGGUGGCAGCAGUGAGGAAUAUUGGUCAAUGGCCGGAAGGCUGAACCAGCCAAGCCGCGUGAAGGACGAAGGUGCCAAGCAUUGUAAACUUCUUUUGUCAAGGGACAAAAUCAGGCUCGAGAGCCUGACCGAGGGUACUUGAAGAAAAAGCAUCGGCUAACUCCGUGCCAGCAGCCGCGGUAAUACGGAGGAUGCGAGCGUUAUCCGGAUUUAUUGGGUUUAAAGGGAGCGUAGGCGGGUUGUUAAGUCAGUUGUGAAAGUUUGCGGCUCAACCGUAAAAUUGCAGUUGAUACUGGCAUCCUUGAGUACAGUAGAGGUAGGCGGAAUUCGUGGUGUAGCGGUGAAAUGCUUAGAUAUCACGAAGAACUCCGAUUGCGAAGGCAGCCUGCUGGACUGUAACUGACGCUGAUGCUCGAAAGUGUGGGUAUCAAACAGGAUUAGAUACCCCAGUAGUC